GCAGAGCAUCCUACGGGAGGCAGCAGUGGGGGAAUAUUGCACAAUGGGCGCAAGCCUGAUGCAGCCAUGCCGCGUGUAUGAAGAAGGCCUUCGGGUUGUAAAGUACUUUCAGCAGUGAGGAAGGUGGAUAUGUUAAUAGCAUAUUCAUUUGACGUUAGCUGCAGAAGAAGCACCGGCUAACUCCGUGCCAGCAGCCGCGGUAAUACGGAGGGUGCGAGCGUUAAUCGGAAUUACUGGGCGUAAAGCGCAUGCAGGUGGUUUGUUAAGUCAGAUGUGAAAGCCCGGGGCUCAACCUCGGAAUUGCAUUUGAAACUGGCAAACUAGAGUACUGUAGAGGGGGUAGAAUUUCAGGUGUAGCGGUGAAAUGCGUAGAGAUCUGAAGGAAUACCGGUGGCGAAGGCGGCCCCCUGGACAGAUACUGACACUCAGAUGCGAAAGCGUGGGGAGCAAACAGGAUUAGAUACCCUGGUAG
rnacentral:rRNA from 1 species